AGCUGUGGCUGCCCCAUCCAUGGCAGCGCUCAAGGCCAGGUUGGACGGGGUUUUGGGCAACCUGGUCUAGUGGAAAGGUGUCCCUGCUCAUGGCAGGGGGUUGGAACUGGAUGAUCUUUAAGGUCCCUUCCAACCUAAACCAUUCUAUGAUUCUACAAACAUGUAGCCCAUUCCCUGUGAUUGAGGGAAGUGUCAGGGAGCAGACACAUCCCUGCAUGAGUGAGGCUUAGCUGGAAAUUGAGGGUGGCUACAGCAGAGACAUUGCCCUCAUGGACCAUCCUGCAGUACCUGAACAGGGUGGGCAGAGCAGGGUGCUGGUCACAGCGUCUGUCGAUGGCUGUGGCAAGUGAUGGAAACAGGUCCAGGUCUAUCCAGGGAGCCAAGAGUAGCAGGAGAUGGAGCCAGAGAAAGAACUGGAAGGGCUCCAAUGAAAGUCCAAGGUCCUUCCAGGAGACAGGGACAGAGAUGAGGUUUCAGGGUGGCUCCAAGGUCCAAUCAGGAGACCCAGCCAGAGGUGGGCAAAGCCUGGAGUAAGGCUGAUCAGGGCCUUGAAGUUUUAUGAAGGCACCAAAUCAAGGCAUUACAUGACUCUGCAUUGCUGGUUGCCUAUGGAGGAAAACAUUCAAAUGCCUUAUUUCCAGAGGCUGCAGAAAUCCUUUUGGCCAAUGGUGACCUUCUGAAGGCAUCCUAAAGGCAGAUGAAGUAAGGGAGGAUUUCAGUGUCACACCAAAGUGAGCAGCACAGAACCCCCACGAAUAACAGAAAGUCUCCCCCCCCCAAAAAAAAAAAAAAAAAGUAAAAAGAGGAAGAAAAAAUGAUGUUCUUGCUCUACAGGAGUGCAGGUUUCAUCCAAACCUAUCUGGAGCUUACAGGAAUCCUCCUCCUGGUUUUAGGGAGGUUUGAAUCAAGCUAGAAGGCUCCUCUCCCAGCCAAGGUGGACUUUUUCUCUCUGUGCUUUCCCCAUAUCUAAAUUGGAAGGGAGCAACAACCCUUUGGAGCCUGGGAAUGAGUCUGGAGAAGAGUUUUCCUCCCAGAGGUGGGGUUGCAGUGGCAGUACUGCUGUUCCCAGGGGGUGAUAAGACAGAUCGUGUCAUGUGUAGAGGGAGAGGACCUUCCUCUACAGCUGGCUGUAUUCAAGUGCUGCAGAGCCCUGCUUUGAGUUUUGUCUUCCCCUGGGGCCACCAAACCUGGGAACAACAUGCUCUUCCCAAGAGGUCAGGGAAGGGGAGCCUCAUCCCAGACAGAGAUCAUGAUGCAAAGCAAGACCCAGUAAGGUUGCCCAGAAGGAAACCAGGAAUGCCCAUUGCUGUUUUUAAUUCAAAAUAAAUGGGGCAAAUAAUAGGCGAUAGCAGAACAGGUAACACCAGAUUUUGGGAUGCUGAAGGGGUUUUUAAGUUGGAAAAUGUACAGCUUCCUGGUUAAACAUAGGGCAAAUCUUGCUCCACUGGUGCAGAGCUAACCAGAAUGGUUGUGUCCAGGCUAGAAGAGGGUUUGAAAUGCCCUGGCAGUACCAACGCACAGUGGAUCCACCAGCAAUGUGAAAGGCAGUGUUCAGAUUGUAUUAGGGAAAAGCAGAAAAGUAAUCAUCUGGAGGACAGAGUGACUCAGGGGACUGGCAAUAAGAUGGAUCACGUUACUGCCAUGGAAUGGAUUCCAAUUAGUUACAUCCGCUUUCAAUUAUUAUUAUUUAUACAGAACCUAAAGGCAGUCACAGAUUAUCCAAAAAUGUGUGGGCUGAUCUGUAAAUCUCCCUUCACUCCCCCCGUCAGCCCUUGUAAUGACAAACACCAGUCACACUGCCUAGACUGGUUCAUACUGGCUGCGACAUAAAUUGCUUAUUAACAUCCAGCUUGCUGCAUCUCCACUUCUCUCAUUCUUUGAAAUGAAAAUAGGGAAGCAAAUGACUGAGGUUGGAGUUUCAUGUUGCAUUUUUGCUGGCAACAGCAGCUCAAGAAGUUCCUCCUUGCCUCCCUGCAUUUCGUUCCAUUUUUCCCCCCUUGUGCCACCCCAUGAGUAAUGCACAUACAGGCCUCGGGGAUCAGCCAGGUCAGUGAACUGUUAACUCUGUUAAAAUGAACAAGAAGAAGGGUAUUUUUAAUCAGAGUUGGUGAACCUCGCUGCUCGUGUUGACCAGAGACUCCUUGGUUUUUGCUAAGAUGGUGGCAGGAGUCUGAGUGAGUGAUGGAGGGACAUCCACCAACCUGGUUUGCCCCCAGAUACCAUCUUCUCUUUGAUGGCAAGCCCUCCUCUCUCACAGCGAAAACCCAGUGGUCCUGCUUCAUCAUCUGAGGCUGUUUAAAGCAUGUUCAUGAGAUUGGAGGAAUUGUUUCACCGAAGGAAGUUUUGGGGGAGAUGCUAAAGAAUUCGCUACAGCACCGUAACUUGCUGAAGUUUUUAGAAGCAUUCUGGGAAGUGAUUUCUCUCCUCUUAUUUGGAAUAGAAGAAGCCAGGCUAAUGGGGCAGACAUAAUUUACUUUUGGACUUUCUCAUUCUCUGUACAUUCUCUGUACAUGGACCAUUGCUUCCACAUAUCCUGUAGAAACAGAACAUUUCUAUGUUCUUUUGCUGUUAUGGGAAAGCAGUCACUGUAUGGGAAAAUAUGCAGCUCUGAUUCAUACAGAAACUACAGUUAUCACUUGCAUUAACAUAAAUUGGGAAGUUAAAUCAACAUAACCAGUAGACUUCCGUGGGUGAGGGAAAGGAUAGUUUGGGUGGGAGUUCUCGCCCUUCUGGCCCUCCUUAUGAUCUCCAGGAAACUGGGGAGGGAAAUGUCUACCAAGAGCAGAUGGUCCCAGCAGGAAUGUAUAGAGAUAUAUAUACACACACAUAUAUAAACACAGUGGUUUCUAGCAAGAUCCAUGGCAAAUAGGGUUGUCUGCAGAAAGGUCUUUUGGGUUGUUGAGGAGAGAUGAGAAAACAUCGGUCUUCCAGUGUGAAACGGCAACUGAAAAAGAGCAUGAGAACAUCCUCCAGAUCAGCAGACAGAGCAGCUCCCCUGUGGCCAUUUGUCCAGACUGGGACAGAAUGUACUUCUUGCCAUCUUAUUAAAUGAGCUUUUCUCACCUUACACUGUGGGAAAACAAAAUCAUACUCUCCAAUAUAGAGCUAAGAUGAGCCUGGGUAUCCCUGUAAAGACUCUAGUCCCUACCUUAAUUUCUUUUGCCAGCAGCAAGUCACUUUUAUGUAUUAUAUUGAUUCCACUGACUGAGAAGCAUCUUGAAGGAGAGGUGGUGUGUUAUAACUGAUGGAUGUUCUGCCUAGGUAGCCCAUGGGCAAGGAGCUGGGGAUGGCAGCUGGGAAAUGAAAUGUGGUGCUGUUUGAUCACCAUUGUUCCUGAGCUUAUCUCUUUUCUGGAAAAGGCCAGGGCACAUCUGGAAAGCCUGUUUUCACAGAGGACCUCAAGAAAGGAGAAGGCAAGAAAGGUCCUUCAGUUCAGCUUGGGAGCAAGGCCCAUGUUUUGAAGCCUGGAGUCUCAUCGCAACCUCACCAAAACCACUAUGACUCUGGGCACUUCAUAUACUUCCUGCUUCUCCUUGGAUGCUAGUGCUCUUGAGCUGAGGCUUGAACGGUGCCUCACAAAGCUGAGCCUUGCUCUUAGCUGGAGCAUCUUGAUAGUCAUGAAGUUGGAAAUGAAAAUGAUAAAGAUCA